GUUUGAAUGAUGACUUGUGUUGUCGGAUACCCCUUCACUCUCCAUGAGUGAGACAAAUAGAGUCUGACAAAC
rnacentral:snoRNA from 15 species